AGGGCGAGCAGGCGCGAAAACUGCACAAUGUGGGCAACCACGAUGCGGGAAACCCAAGUGCCAGCGCUAUGCGUUGGCUGUCCUCCAGUGUUCGUAACUGGGGAAGAAAGUGCUGGGUAAGACGGGUGCCAGCCGCCGCGGUAAUACCCGCAGCACAAGUGGUGGUCAUUAUUAUUGGGCCUAAAGCGUCCGUAGCUGGCUUGUUAGAUGCCUGGGUAAAUCGAUGCGCUCAACGCAUCGAACUCCGGGUAGACCGGCAAGCUUGGGACCGGGAGAGGCGUGAGCUACUCGAGGGGUAGGGGUAAAAUCCUGUAAUCCUUCGGGGAGGACCAGCGGCGAAGGCGUCACGCUAGAACGGCUCCGACAGUGAGGGACGAAGCCCUGGGGCGCAAACCGGAUUAGAUACCCGGGUAGUCCAGGGUGUAAACGCUGCAGACUUGGUGUCGCUGAUCCUACGAGGGUUGGCGGUGCCGUAGAGAAGUUGUUUAGUCUGCCGCCUGGGGAGUACGGUCGCAAGACUGAAACUCAAAGGAAUUGACGGA
rnacentral:rRNA from 1 species